GACGUAGGAUGCAAGCGUUAUCCGGAAUUAUUGGGCGUAAAGAGUUCGUAGGCGGCUAAAUAAGUUGGAUGUUAAAGCUUUGAGCUCAACUCAAACACGGUAUCCAAAACUGUUUGGCUGGAGACAGGUAGAGGCAAGUAGAAUUCUGCAUGUAGGGGUAAUAUCCGUAGAUAUGCAGAGGAAUACCAAAAGCGAAGGCAGCUUGCUGGACCUGUUCUGACGCUCAAGAACGAAAGCGUGGGGAGCGAACGGG
rnacentral:rRNA from 1 species